rnacentral:sRNA from 1 species
GAGAAAGGGGGAAGAGAGGCACAGACACAGAUAGGAGAAGGGCACCGGCUGAAGCCACUUGCAGGACUGAGGGUUUUUGCAACAAAACCCUAGCAGCCUGAAGAACUCUAAGCCAGGUUUAAUUGGUUUCUUUUUCUCGUGGGUAGACUUAAUAAUUUUCUACGUAUUCUGACAAAGAAAUAACCCCGAAGCACAUUCCUAUUUCCCACCUGCUUGUAGUUUCCGGGAUAACCUAAACUCCAGAGAGCUAUAGCAUCCACUCUGUCCUUUCUGCUUUGCACACAGAUGGGGUGGCUGGACGAGAGCAGCUCUUGGCUCAGCAAAGAAUGCACAGUAUGAUCAGCUCAGGUUUCCUUCCAAAUUCUCUACCCCCACACCUUAAGAGAUUCUGAUACAUCAUAAAUAGAGGGACAUACAUCUUUACAUGAAAACGACAUGGAAGAUUUUCUGAGGGACAUGUGAAUGGUGAAUUUGCAUGAUGUGGAGAACCAAAAUGGCUGAGGACUGCUGCUCAGUGCCCCAGCUCUGUUCACUCGCCUAGAGUUUCCUGAACAAGCCCUGCUGCUUCUGUCUUCUGAGCUCUGACCCACCAAGCCAUUUCCUCUACUUGGAGUGCUUUCCUUCCCUUUCUGCUUUUCCCUUCUCAAAACCAAGCUAAAAUAUUGCCUGCUCUAUGAAACUUAUCCUAUCACCCUGUUCAGAUGCACAUGCCUUUCUUCUGUACUUUUGUGACACCACAUGCAGAUCUGUUCAUCACAUUUUCUAGUAUUCAUUUGUUUAAAAAUAUGAAUUGAGAUACCACUAAAUGUCAGAUGCUAUAUUAAGUGCUAACUACAGUCUUGGUGAACAAAAAGUGGAUGUGAAGUCAGAAGUUCCUGUGGGCCUGGAGCCCAUCUCACCUUUAGACCUAAGGACAGACCUCAGGAUGAUGAUGCCCGUGGUGGACCCUGUUGUCCGUGAGAAGCAAUUGCAGCAGGAAUUACUUCUUAUCCAGCAGCAGCAACAAAUCCAGAAGCAGCUCCUGAUAGCAGAAUUUCAGAAACAGCAUGAGAACUUGACACGGCAGCACCAGGCUCAGCUUCAGGAGCAUAUCAAGUUGCAACAGGAACUUCUAG